UACGUAGGGUGCAAGCGUUGUCCGGAAUUAUUGGGCGUAAAGAGCGUGUAGGCGGCCCGAUUAGUCCGCUGUGAAAGUCCAGGGCUCAACCCUGGAAUGCCGGUGGAUACUGUCGGGCUAGAGUCCGGAAGGGGCGAGUGGAAUUCCUGGUGUAGCGGUGAAAUGCGCAGAUAUCAGGAGGAACACCAAUGGCGAAGACAGCUCGCUGGGACGUGACUGACGCUGAGACGCGAAAGCGUGGGGAGCAAACAGG
rnacentral:rRNA from 1 species